rnacentral:rRNA from 1 species
UUCGCCCUUAGAGUUUGAUCCUGGCUCAGGACGAACGCUGGCGGCGCGCCUAACACAUGCAAGUCGAACGAGCGAGAGAGAGCUUGCUUUCUCGAGCGAGUGGCGAACGGGUGAGUAACGCGUGAGGAACCUGCCUCAAAGAGGGGGACAACAGUUGGAAACGACUGCUAAUACCGCAUAAGCCCACGGCUCGGCAUCGAGCAGAGGGAAAAGGAGCAAUCCGCUUUGAGAUGGCCUCGCGUCCGAUUAGCUAGUUGGUGAGGUAAUGGCCCACCAAGGCGACGAUCGGUAGCCGGACUGAGAGGUUGAACGGCCACAUUGGGACUGAGACACGGCCCAGACUCCUACGGGAGGCAGCAGUGGGGAAUAUUGCACAAUGGGGGAAACCCUGAUGCAGCGACGCCGCGUGGAGGAAGAAGGUCUUCGGAUUGUAAACUCCUGUUGUUGGGGAAGAUAAUGACGGUACCCAACAAGGAAGUGACGGCUAACUACGUGCCAGCAGCCGCGGUAAAACGUAGGUCACAAGCGUUGUCCGGAAUUACUGGGUGUAAAGGGAGCGCAGGCGGGAAGACAAGUUGGAAGUGAAAUCUAUGGGCUCAACCCAUAAACUGCUUUCAAAACUGUUUUUCUUGAGUAGUGCAGAGGUAGGCGGAAUUCCCGGUGUAGCGGUGGAAUGCGUAGAUAUCGGGAGGAACACCAGUGGCGAAGGCGGCCUACUGAGCACCAACUGACGCUGAGGCUCGAAAGUGUGGGUAGCAAACAGGAUUAGAUACCCUGGUAGUCCACACCGUAAACGAUGAUUACUAGGUGUUGGAGGAUUGACCCCUUCAGUGCCGCAGUUAACACAAUAAGUAAUCCACCUGGGGAGUACGACCGCAAGGUUGAAACUCAAAGGAAUUGACGGGGGCCCGCACAAGCAGUGGAGUAUGUGGUUUAAUUCGACGCAACGCGAAGAACCUUACCAAGUCUUGACAUCCCUUGACAGGCAUAGAAAUAUGUUUUCUCUUCGGAGCGAGGAGACAGGUGGUGCAUGGUUGUCGUCAGCUCGUGUCGUGAGAUGUUGGGUUAAGUCCCGCAACGAGCGCAACCCUUAUGGUCAGUUACUACGCAAGAGGACUCUGGCCAGACUGCCGUUGACAAAACGGAGGAAGGUGGGGAUGACGUCAAAUCAUCAUGCCCUUUAUGACUUGGGCUACACACGUACUACAAUGGCGUUAAACAAAGAGAAGCAAGACCGCGAGGUGGAGCAAAACUCAGAAACAACGUCCCAGUUCGGACUGCAGGCUGCAACUCGCCUGCACGAAGUCGGAAUUGCUAGUAAUCGUGGAUCAGCAUGCCACGGUGAAUACGUUCCCGGGCCUUGCACACACCGCCCGUCA